rnacentral:snoRNA from 13 species
UGGCCAAGGAUGAGAACCCUUUGCUGAUUCAGUUUGCUCCUGCGCUGAUGGGUUAAAGGAUUUACCUGAGGCCA